rnacentral:rRNA from 1 species
UACGUAGGGUGCAAGCGUUGUCCGGAAUUAUUGGGCGUAAAGAGCUCGUAGGCGGUCUGUCGCGUCGGCUGUGAAAACCUGGGGCUUAACUCCGGGCUUGCAGCCGAUACGGGCAGACUAGAGUUCGGCAGGGGAGACUGGAAUUCCUGGUGUAGCGGUGAAAUGCGCAGAUAUCAGGAGGAACACCGGUGGCGAAGGCGGGUCUCUGGGCCGAAACUGACGCUGAGGUGCGAAAGCGUGGGGAGCGAACAGG